UGGGGAAUAUUGGACAAUGGGCGAAAGCCUGAUCCAGCCAUGCCACGUGUGUGAAGAAGGUCUUCGGAUUGUAAAGCACUUUAAGUUGGGAGGAAGGGCAGUAAGUUAAUACCUUGCUGUUUUGACGUUACCGACAGAAUAAGCACCGGCUAACUCUGUGCCAG
rnacentral:rRNA from 1 species